GCGGACGGAAAGUUUAUGCAGACGGACUGUGUCCGGCGAUGGGCACGGGGUGAGUGGGGAGGCCGAGGGCCCGGGGCUGCCUUUCGUUGCUUGUUGGGGUUACAGGUGAAGGCGUUAGGGGUGAAGAACAACCCAGGGCCAGCGCUUGGCCUUCCCGCCACCGUGGCGGCCGCCCCGCGCCGUCUGUGAGGCGCCAGUUCCGGGGUGCUGCUCCCGGCCUCCCCUCGCUCUGAGGCUCGGGGUCCCCAGCUCCGCGUCAGCUGCACGAUUUCGCCCUCUGCUCAGCCCCCUUCUGUCCUCUCUUUCCCCUCAAGAGAGAUUUCCAGAUCCCACAUUUUCUUGGCUGAUUUUUCAGCAUUUCUCUGUUUAUAGCUGUCUGUUUGCAUUCUGAUUGGGAACACUGGGAUCAUUUUCAUCAUGCCGACAGUGGUGGUAAUGGAUGUAUCCCUUUCCAUGACCCGACCUGUGUCUAUUGAGGGGUCCGAGGAAUACCAGCGUAAGCACCUAGCAGCCCAUGGUUUAACGAUGCUGUUUGAGCACAUGGCCACAAAUUACAAGCUUGAAUUUACAGCACUUGUGGUUUUUUCAUCACUUUGGGAGUUGAUGGUCCCCUUCACGAGAGAUUAUAAUACCCUACAGGAAGCACUAAGUAAUAUGGAUGAUUAUGACAAAACCUGCUUGGAGUCUGCAUUAGUUGGUGUUUGCAAUAUCGUUCAGCAAGAAUGGGGUGGUGCAAUUCCUUGCCAGGUUGUCCUGGUGACAGACGGCUGUCUUGGCAUUGGUAGAGGGUCACUACGACAUUCCCUAGCCACUCAAAAUCAACGAAGUGAGAGCAACAGGUUUCCACUACCUUUUCCUUUCCCAUCUAAGUUAUAUAUCAUGUGCAUGGCGAAUUUGGAGGAGCUCCAGAGCACCGAUUCCUUGGAAUGCCUUGAACGUCUCAUAGAUUUAAACAAUGGUGAAGGGCAGAUUUUUACUAUUGAUGGCCCCCUGUGCUUGAAGAAUGUCCAGUCUAUGUUUGGAAAACUGAUAGAUCUGGCAUAUACGCCUUUCCAUGCUGUUCUCAAGUGUGGCCACCUAACUGCUGAUGUACAAGUCUUCCCCAGGCCAGAACCUUUUGUUGUAGAUGAAGAAAUUGAUCCUAUCCCUAAAGUCAUUAACACAGAUUUGGAAAUAGUGGGAUUUAUUGAUAUAGCUGAUAUUUCAAGUCCCCCAGUUCUGUCCAGACAUCUGGUCUUACCUAUAGCACUUAACAAAGAAGGUGAUGAGGUGGGUACUGGCAUCACUGAUGACAAUGAAGAUGAAAAUUCAGCCAAUCAGAUUGCAGGCAAAAUACCCAACUUUUGUGUCCUGCUCCAUGGUAGCCUAAAAGUGGAAGGAAUGGUAGCGAUUGUUCAAUUAGGUCCUGAAUGGCAUGGAAUGCUCUACUCCCAAGCUGACAGCAAGAAGAAAUCAAACCUCAUGAUGUCUCUCUUUGAGCCUGGCCCAGAACCUCUCCCAUGGCUAGGGAAAAUGGCACAGUUGGGUCCUAUUUCAGAUGCUAAAGAAAACCCUUAUGGCGAGGAUGACAAUAAGAGCCCAUUCCCCCUGCAGCCCAAAAACAAACGCAGUUAUGCCCAGAAUGUGACUGUCUGGAUCAAACCUAGCGGCCUGCAGACAGAUGUACAGAAGAUUUUAAGAAAUGCAAGGAAACUACCUGAAAAAACACAGACAUUCUAUAAGGAGCUGAACCGUUUGCGAAAGGCCGCUCUAGCCUUUGGUUUCCUGGACCUGCUGAAAGGGGUGGCUGACAUGCUGGAAAGGGAAUGCACACUGCUGCCUGACACAGCCCACCCUGAUGCUGCAUUCCAGCUGACCCAUGCUGCCCAACAGCUCAAGCUGGCCAGUACCGGCACCUCUGAGUACGCCGCUUAUGACCAGAACAUCACACCUUUGCACACGGACUUCUCUGGGAGCAGCACUGAAAGAAUUUGAAACUGACUUUUGGAGCUUUCCUUCUUUUUUCAUUUCAACUGAAAAUGAUUUAGGUAAAAACCUUUCCAGUAUGUUCACCUCUAGAAUAGCCACCCAAAGACCUUCCUGAGGCUGCCUCAGAAGCACCACUUGCUGUUUUGAAUGACUCUACUAGUAUGAGAAGGAUGUGAAGGUGGUUGGCUGGUUGGGCUUUAACUUCCUGGGAUUCAUAAUUUUUAAGCUUGGAAGAUAGCUGCUGUUCCCAUGAUGGGCACAUUUCCUGAGAAGCUUGAAUGACUGAUGAGCAUAGAACACCCCUGCCUUCCUCAAGAAACCUGACCGGCAAGGGCUCUCUGACUUCCUGAAAGCUUCGCCUCUUCUCUCGUUUAUAUCUCAACUGUAAGGGCAUUUUCAAGCUUCUGUUCAUGGAAUGAGCAACUCAGACUUUCUGGAGCUUGCUGACACUAAGUGCUGAAACACCACCACUAAGUUUCAGAACUUUCCUUAGAACUUGGGCAAAAUGUGGUAACUCUUAGGUGCUUUUGGUAUCUCUUGAGAUUCUAACUUUUAAAGAGCAACCAUUAAUGUGUAAAAUGAGUCCUAUUUCUUCAAGGUUUUUUUUAAAUGAAAAUAAAAUAUUUGAUUUUCUAGAAAA